rnacentral:rRNA from 1 species
CAGCAGCCGCGGGAAAACAGAGGAUGCAAGCGUUAUCCGGAAUGAUUGGGCAUAAAGUGUCUGUAGGUGGCUUUUCAAGUCCGCCGUCAAAUCCCAGGGCUCAACCGUGGACAGGCGGUGGAAACUACCAAGCUGGAGUAUGGUAGGGGCAGAGGGAAUUUCCGGUGGAGCGGUGAAAUGCGUUGAGAUCGGAAAGAACACCAACAGCGAAAUCACUCUGCUAGGCCGACACUGACACUGAGAGACGAAAUCUAGGGGAGCAAAUGGGAUUAGAUACCCGCGUAGUCCCUGUCUCUUAUAC